GAAACGCGCAAUUCUUGAUUGUUUGGACUACCAAGGAAAAUGAGGAUGGAAAGGACAAAAGGCGAGAAUACAUAUGUGUCCCAUAUCUUCUUAAUGGUUUCCUGAAGACUUCUGAGUUGAUUCGAGUAGUGUACAGGAGAUGGAAAUCAGGUGAAGUGCUGCCUGAGGAGCCAGAUGAUCCCAGGUGCGUAAGUGGAGCUGGAUGUGACCUAAUGCUUCUUCCAGACUGAAGACUUGCUCUAUGGGCUGC